UACGGAGGAUCCAAGCGUUAUCCGGAUUUAUUGGGUUUAAAGGGUGCGUAGGUGGUUUAUUAAGUCAGGGGUGAAAGACGGCAGCUUAACUGUCGCAGUGCCUUUGAUACUGAUGAACUUGAAUGAACUAGAGGUAGGCGGAAUGUGACAAGUAGCGGUGAAAAUGCAUAGAUAUGUCACAGAACACCAAUUGCGAAGGCAGCUUACUAUGGUUU
rnacentral:rRNA from 1 species